AGUCACUGACAUUAGAUACCCCUGUAGUCCAGGGUGUAAACGCUGCAGACUUGGUGUUGGGAACCCUUCGGGGGUGCUCAGUGCCGGAGAGAAGUUGUUAAGUCUGCUACUUGGGGAGUACGUCCGACAAGGAUGAAACUUAAAGGAAUUGGCGGGGGAGCACCGCAACGGGAGGAGCGUGCGGUUUAAUUGGAUUCAACGCCGAAAAACUCACCAGCAGCGACUGUUACAUGAAAGUCAGGUUGAUGACCUUACUAGAUUUUCAG
rnacentral:rRNA from 1 species